rnacentral:rRNA from 1 species
AUUGAACGCUGGCGGAAUGCUUUACACAUGCAAGUCGAACGGCAGCACGGACUUCGGUCUGGUGGCGAGUGGCGAACGGGUGAGUAAUGUAUCGGAACGUGCCCAGUCGUGGGGGAUAACGUAGUGAAAAUUACGCUAAUACCGCAUACGAUCUAUGGAUGAAAGCGGGGGAUCGCAAGGCCUCGCGCGAUUGGAGCGGCCGAUAUCAGAUUAGGUAGUUGGUGGGGUAAAGGCCCACCAAGCCAGCGAUCUGUAGCUGGUCUGAGAGGACGACCAGCCACACUGGAACUGAGACCCGGUCCAGACUCCUACGGGAGGCAGCAGUGGGGAAUUUUGGACAAUGGGCGAAAGCCUGAUCCAGCCAUUCCGCGUGCAGGAUGAAGGCCCUCGGGUUGUAAACUGCUUUUGUACAGAACGAAAAGGUUUCUACUAAUACUAGGAGCUCAUGACGGUACUGUAAGAAUAAGCACCGGCUAACUACGUGCCAGCCGCCGCCGUAA